UGGGAGUAUUAUAAAAUGUAACAAGGUUUCCGUAGGUGAACCUGCGGAAGGAUCAUUACAGAAUGAAAAGUGCUUAACUGCAUUUUUUCUUACACAUGUGUUUUUCUUUUUUUGAAAACUUUGCUUUGGUAGGCCUUCUAUAUGGGGCCUGCCAGAGAUUAAACUCAACCAAAUUUUAUUUAAUGUCAACCGAUUAUUUAAUAGUCAAAACUUUCAACAACGGAUCUCUUGGUUCUCGCAUCGAUGAAGAACGCAGCGAAAUGCGAUAAGUAAUAUGAAUUGCAGAUAUUCGUGAAUCAUCGAAUCUUUGAACGCACAUUGCGCCCUUUGGUAUUCCAAAGGGCAUGCCUGUUUGAGCGUCAUUUCUCCCUCAAACCCUCGGGUUUGGUGUUGAGCGAUACGCUGGGUUUGCUUGAAAGAAAGGCGGAGUAUAAACUAAUGGAUAGGUUUUUUCCACUCAUUGGUACAAACUCCAAAACUUCUUCCAAAUUCGACCUCAAAUCAGGUAGGACUACCCGCUGAACUUAAGCAUAUCAUAAGGCGGGAGG
rnacentral:rRNA from 1 species